rnacentral:rRNA from 1 species
UACAGAGGGUGCGAGCGUUGUCCGGAAUCACUGGGCGUAAAGGGCGCGUAGGCGGCCUGAUAAGUAGGGGGUGAAAUCCUGUGGCUCAACUGCAGGGCUGCCUCCUAGACUGUCGGGCUUGAGCACGGUAGAGGCAGAUGGAAUUCCCGGUGUAGCGGUGGAAUGCGUAGAGAUCGGGAAGAACAUCGGUGGCGAAGGCGGUCUGCUGGGCCGUUGCUGACGCUGAAGUGCGAAAGCUAGGGGAGCGAACGGG